rnacentral:rRNA from 1 species
AUUGAACGCUGGCGGCAGGCCUAACACAUGCAAGUCGAGCGAGCGGCGGACGGGUGAGUAAUGUCUGGGAAACUGCCUGAUGGAGGGGGAUAACUAUUGGAAACGGUAGCUAAUACCGCAUACCAUCAGAUGUGCCCAGAUGGGAUUAGCUAGUAGGUGGGGUAAUGGCUCACCUAGGCGACGAUCCCUAGCUGGUCUGAGAGGAUGACCAGACACACUGGAACGUAGACACGGUCCAGACUCCUACGUGAGGCAGCAGUGGGGAAUAUUGCGCAAUGGGCGCAAGCCUGAUGCAGCAAUGCCGCGUGUGUGAAGAAGGCCUUCGGGUUGUAAAGCACUUUCAGCGGGGAGGCGUUACCCGAAGAAGAAGCACCGGCUAACUCCGUGCCAGCAGCCGCGGUAAUAC